rnacentral:rRNA from 1 species
AGCAGCCGCGGUAAUUCCAGCUCCAAUAGCGUAUAUUAAAGUUGUUGCAGUUAAAAAGCUCGUAGUUGAAUUUCGGGAUCAAUAUGUCGGUCGUGCCUUCGGUACGUACUGGUAUCAUUGGUCUCUCCUUUCUGACGAACCAUGAUGUCAUUUAUUUGGUGUUGUGGGGAAUCAGGACUGUUACUUUGAAAAAAUUAGAGUGUUUAAAGCAGGCUCACGCUUGAAUACAUUAGCAUGGAAUAAUGAAAUAGGACGUUUGAUUCUAUUUUGUUGGUUUCUAGGAUCGACGUAAUGAUUAAUAGGGAUAGUUGGGGGCAUUAGUAUUCAAUUGUCAGAGGUGAAAUUCUUGGAUUUAUUGAAGACUAACUACUGCGAAAGCAUUUGCCAAGGAUGUUUUCAUUAAUCAAGAACGAAAGUUAGGGGAUCGAAGACGAUCAGAUACCGUCGUAGUCUUAACCAUAAACUAUGCCGACUAGGGAUCGGAUGAUGUUAAUUUUUAAUGA